rnacentral:rRNA from 1 species
UACGUAGGGGGCUAGCGUUGUCCGGAAUCAUUGGGCGUAAAGCGCGCGUAGGCGGCCCGGUAAGUCCGCUCUGAAAGUCCAGGGCUCAACCCUGGAAAGCGGGUGGAUACUGCCGGGCUAGAAUCCGGAAGAGGCGAGUGGAAUUCCUGGUGUAGCGGUGUAAUGCGCAGAUAUCAGGAGGAACACCAAUAGCGAAGGCAGCUCGCUGGGACGGUAUUGACGCUAAGGCGCGAAAGCGUGGGGAGCAAACAGG